GACGAACGCUGGCGGCGUGCUUAACACAUGCAAGUCGAACGGAAAGGCCCCUUUGGGGGUCCUCGAGUGGCGAACGGGUGAGUAACACGUGAGUAACCUGCCCUUGACUUCGGGAUAACUUCAGGAAACUGGGGCUAAUACCGGAUAGGAAUCCUUGCUGCAUGGUGGGGGUUGGAAAGCUUCGGCGGUUUUGGAUGGACUCGCGGCUUAUCAGCUUGUUGGUGGGGUAGUGGCUUACCAAGGCUUUGACGGGUAGCCGGCCUGAGAGGGCGACCGGCCACAUUGGGACUGAGAUACGGCCCAGACUCCCACGGGAGGCAGCAGUGGGGAAUAUUGCACAAUGGGCGGAAGCCUGAUGCAGCAACGCCGCGUGCGGGAGGACGGCCUUCGGGUUGUAAACCGCUUUCAGCAGGGGCGAAGCUUGUGGUGACGGUACCUGCAGAAGAAGCACCGGCUAACUACGUG
rnacentral:rRNA from 1 species